AGGCCAUGAUGGGGACACUUACGUAAUAGCUCCUUGAACCUUUCCCAUGUUUCAUAUAAGGAUUCCCCGUCCUCUUGUGAGUAUGUAUUAAUUUCAGCCAUUAAUUU
rnacentral:snoRNA from 1 species